NUGCAUUAGAGGAAGAAAUCAUUAUUUUAGAAUAGGAAAAUAUAAAUUUCUAAGACUUAAUUCCUUGGCAAUCCAAAAAGAAAGGUACCAUUAUCCAUAAACAUUCAGAAGGAGUAAUUUACUCUUUAACCUCAGGUGUACCCUUUUAUGUUCCUUGAACAUGCUAAGCUAAUUCCUGCCUCAGGGCCUUUGCCCUUGCUGUUCCUUCUGUAUUGCUUUCUGUAUUACUGGCUCCCUCUCUUCACUCACAUUUCAGUUCAAAUAUCAUCUUGAAAUUCUUUCCUCACCACUAUCUCCACCCCAUAUUUUUAAGCAUUUGCCACAAUCUAAAAUUAGAAUUAGACUAUAACUCCAAGGGUUCACUAAUAAGUACUAUCUAGCUAUAGUAAUAGUUUGAAUAGUUAUCAUAUAGCAGGUGUUCAGUAUAUGUGUGUUGAAAGAAUGACCAAAACCCAUAAAUAUAUAUAAUUAUUAUUUGUCAAUUAAGAAUAAAAACAAAGUGUGAUAAUACAUAUGUAUUUUUCUGAAGGAAGAAUUCAUAGUUUGAUUCUCAAAGGGGCUUGUGACCCCUAAAAGUUAUCAAGUAGAUAGUGUGUUUUCUGAAAUGUAUAAUACUCAUCCUGUAAUGCCUUUCAUAGUUAAUUUGUACUUCUUGGCAGUUCUCACUAAUCUCUCAGUAGUUGGAUACUUAGCACAUGCCUGUGCUUGGUAGUGAUAUCAUUUAUCAUUCACAGUUGGUUUUGAUAUAACUUCAGAGGGAAAUAUCCCCUACCUUGAAUUACUUAUCCAACAAAUGCUUUGUAAGCUAGUUUUUAAGAUAGCAGUUUCUGAUUCAUAUUUCUAUCUGUAAGAUUCCAUAAUCUAUAAAUAUAAACUAACUUGUGACUUAAUUUAUAAAGAACCUAGUACUCAAUGUACCUUUAGUGCAUAACUUCAAAUCCCCUUUAAGAUCCAUCAGAUCUAUGUAGAGAUGACUCAGUUGGUAUUGUAAUAUUAACUUUGAUCUCAAAGGCAAAACUGUUUUGCAAAUCUAUUAGAAACUGAUUCAAAAUCUGUUAAUUAUAGUGAUUACCAUAGGUUAUUUUUAUAUGCAAAGGUAGAUGUACUUUAACCAACAAGUAACAUAGUUAAUGUGAGAUCAAAUUAUAUUGGAAAAAAUAAAGUAUAUAAGUUCUUAUGGCUAUCAUGCUCUUGGAAGGAGCAUUUUUCUUUCAGAGUACUCAUUCACUAAAAUAGUUAUUGAAGGUAAUAAUUGAUAUUGUUUUGAAUCUUUGUUAACUUUGUAGCUUGAGAUUAAAAAGUUGCAUUGUGGAGCUCCCAAAAAUUCUCUUGAUAAACCCAUAAUGAACACACUACCCCCUUUUCAAGUUAUCGUAGCAUAUCAUCAUUUAAUCAGCAAACAGUUUUAAAAAUACAUUAACAUCUGUAGCCAUGCUCUCAAUGUGUUUGAUUUAACUAGAUCAAACCUGAAGAUGCUAUGAAAGCCUGGUGGCCAAGAGAAGAGCUGUAAGUAAAUUUUGGGGUGCUUGAGUACAGAUGUUAAUUUAUUUUAAAAAAUAAAUGUUUUACUUUUUGGGAUAGCUGAGAUUAGUAGGUAGGACAUAUCUAGUUUUUCUUAAGUAUAUAUGAUACAAUUUGGUAUACAAAUGUAAUUUUUUAUCUUCAGUCAAGAGAUAGGAAACUAAUGCCAGACUAUGACUUUUAAAAGGAAUAAUUUGCUUUUUUUGUUUUGUCUUAACAGAUAAUCCCAGAUCCAACUGGAAAACUGAAGUAUUUUGAUAAACUAAAUUGAAAACUACUUCAUCAAGUUUUAAUGCUUGAAAGUUCUCAAUAAAGGUCACUGUUUUAUUAUCAUUGUGUUAUAGUAGUAAUUUCUUGGAGAAUAUA
rnacentral:lncRNA from 1 species